CCUUGGGAUUCCAAGGCCCAGGAGCACCUUGGAAUGAGAAGGGCUGUUCCAAGAAGGGCAUGUCCUCGAGUGAGGCGAGGUGACUCUCUGCAGCUGAGAAAGGCCCUGAAGGGUCUGCUGUCCAUCUUUCCUGCCGCUGGACAGCAAGUCUUCCUUUGAAGAGGGAUCUGGAAGGCUGUUGAAGAAUGUGUGUAUACUUCACAGAGUUGGUGGAUUUCUGGAGCAUCUCAAAAACAACUCAGCAUUGGAAAUCACAAGAGAAAUCAAUGACAGAGGCAGAGUCAAAUCAGAAUCAACAAAACUGUGAGG
rnacentral:lncRNA from 1 species